rnacentral:rRNA from 1 species
UACGUAGGGGGCUAGCGUUGUUCGGAAUUACUGGGCGUAAAGGGCUCGUAGGCGGCCAACUAAGUCGGAUGUGAAAUCCCCAGGCUUAACCUGGGAACUGCAUCCGAUACUGGAUGGCUUGAAUCCGGGAGAGGGAUGCAGAAUUCCAGGUGUAGCGGUGAAAUGCGUAGAUAUCUGGAGGAAUACCGGUGGCGAAGGCAGCUCUCUGGGACGGUACUGACGCUGAGACGCGAAAGCGUGGGGAGCGAACAGG